rnacentral:rRNA from 1 species
CCUACGGGGUGCAGCAGUGGGGAAUAUUGGACAAUGGGCGAAAGCCUGAUCCAGCCAUGCCGCGUGUGUGAAGAAGGCCUUCGGGUUGUAAAGCACUUUCAGUGGGGAAGAAAGCCUUGGGGCUAAUACCCUCGAGGAAGGACAUCACCCACAGAAGAAGCACCGGCUAACUCCGUGCCAGCAGCCGCGGUAAUACGGAGGGUGCGAGCGUUAAUCGGAAUUACUGGGCGUAAAGCGCGCGUAGGCGGUCUGAUAAGCCGGUUGUGAAAGCCCCGGGCUCAACCUGAGAACGGCAUCCGGAACUGUCAGGCUAGAGUGCAGGAGAGGAAGGUAGAAUUCCCGGUGUGGCGGUGAAAUGCGUAGAGAUCGGGAGGAAUACCAGUGGCGAAGGCGGCCUUCUGGACUGACACUGACGCUGAGGUGCGAAAGCGUGGGUAGCAAACAGGAUUAGAGACCCGAGUAGUC